GAGUUUGAUCCUGGCUCAGGAUGAACGCUAGCGGCAGGCCUAACACAUGCAAGUCGAGGGGUAACAGGAAGUGCUUGCACUUCGCUGACGACCGGCGCACGGGUGAGUACCGCGUAUACAAUCUGCCUCAUACUAGGGGAUAGCCCGAAGAAAUUUGGAUUAAUACCCUAUAGUAUCUUUUUAAGGCAUCUUAUUAAGAUUAAAGGUUACGGUAUGAGAUGAGUAUGCGUUAUAUUAGCUAGUAGGUGUGGUAACGGCACACCUAGGCUACGAUAGAUAGGGGCCCUGAGAGGGGGAUCCCCCACACUGGUACUGAGACACGGACCAGACUCCUACGGGGGGCAGCAGUGAGGAAUAUUGGACAAUGGGCGAAAGCCUGAUCCAGCCAUGCCGCGUGCAGGAUGACUGCCCUAUGGGUUGUAAACUGCUUUUAUAUAGGAAGAAAAACUUUCUCGUGAGAAAGGUUGACGGUACUAUAAGAGUAAGGAUCGGCUAACUCCGUGCCAGCAGCCGCGGUAAUACGGAGGAUCCAAGCGUUAUCCGGAAUCAUUGGGUUUAAAGGGUCCGUAGGUGGACAAAUAAGUCAGAGGUGAAAUCCUGCAGCUCAACUGUAGAACUGCCUUUGAUACUGUUUGUCUUGAGUUAUUAUGAAGUGGUUAGAAUGUGUAGUGUAGCGGUGAAAUGCAUAGAUAUUACACAGAAUACCGAUUGCGAAGGCAGAUCACUAAUAAUUAACUGACACUGAGGGACGAAAGCGUGGGUAGCGAACAGGAUUAGAUACCCUGGUAGUCCACGCCGUAAACGAUGGUCACUAGCUGUUUGGACUUCGGUCUGAGUGGCUAAGCGAAAGUGAUAAGUGACCCACCUGGGGAGUACGUUCGCAAGAAUGAAACUCAAAGGAAUUGACGGGGGCCUGCACAAGCGGUGGAGCAUGUGGUUUAAUUCGAUGCAACGCGAAGAACCUUACCAGGAUUUGACAUACUACAAAUCUUUUUGAGAAAGAAGAGCGCCUUCGGGAAUGUAGAUACAGGUGGUGCAUGGCUGUCGUCAGCUCGUGUCGUGAGAUGUUGGGUUAAGUCCCGCAACGAGCGCAACCCUUAUUUUUAGUUACUAACUUGUUAGGUUCUCUAGAAAGACUGCCGGUGACAAACCGGAGGAAGGUGAGGAUGACGUCAAGUCGGCAUGCCCCUUAUAUCCUGGGCUACACACGUGCUACAAUGGUUAAGACAAUGAGUCGCAAGCUCGCGAGAGUCUGCUAAUCUGGUAAACUUUGCCUAAGUUCAGAUUGUAGGCUGCAACUCGCCUACAUGAAGUUGGAAUCGCUAGUAAUCGCUGGUCAGCCACACAGCGGUGAAUCUGUUCCCAGGCCUU
rnacentral:rRNA from 1 species